rnacentral:tRNA from 1 species
GCGGGCGUGGCGGAACUGGCAGACGCGCAGGACUUAGGUUCCUGUUCCCCCGAGGAGUGAGGGUUCGAGUCCCUCCGCCCGCACCA